CCUGGCCUUGGGCCGCUCCCGGGGGCUCGCUCCCGGGGGUGCUCAGCCCUUGACCUUCACCUUGACUAUGCGCACCUUUGUUGUUCCCUCGGCAGGUCUCCUGCCGCCAGGGACCCCAAAACCCCUUAGUAUUAGCAUCAAACUUCUGAAAACAAACCUAAUUAUUUA
rnacentral:misc_RNA from 1 species